rnacentral:rRNA from 1 species
GACGAACCGUCCUAACGUUGUUCGGAAUCACUGGGCUUAAAGGGCGCGUAGGCGGGUCAGCAAGUCCGGGGUGAAAUCUUUCGGCUCAACCGGAAAAGUGCCUUGGAUACUGCUGGUCUAGAGGGAGGUAGGGGCAUGUGGAACUUCCGGUGGAGCGGUGAAAUGCGUUGAUAUCGGAAGGAACGCCGGUGGCGAAAGCGACGUGCUGGAUCUCUUCUGACGCUGAGGCGCGAAAGCCAGGGGAGCAAACGGG